AGUUAAAAUUUUCAUCCAUUUUUACUGUUAAAAAAUUGCAUGACUGACGAAAUAACCAAAUAGUUACAUAUGGCAUGUCACAUGUACCUCAUGUCGACGUACAAAGACUAAUUUUUUAACAAUAGAAAUGGAUGAAAUUUUAAAUG
rfam:Gossypium hirsutum cultivar TM-1 chromosome 5, whole genome shotgun sequence